GCUGAUGUCUAUCUUUUGUUGUAGAUCAGACUGACUUAUUCAUUCACACUAAUGACUGUCUGUGUUUAGCUGUGUCAACAGCACACUCAGGAUCUCUGCUAAUAGUGCUGAUCUCUGCUGUUGCUGCUGGAUCUCUGGUGAUUGUAGCUGUGAUUGUGUUGUUUUGUAUCUGCAGGAAACGCAGAGACGCAGUUCAUGAAGACGAGACUCCAGCUGCUGCAUUACUCUACAAACACACGGGACUAAUGAGAGAAUCAGACGUGACGGAGGUGAUUUACACGUGUUUCAUUACAGAACACUCUCCCUGAUUCUGUCUCCUCACAAAUCAUGUAUUGAUCACAAGAACUGUAUCUGGCUUUUGCACUCUUACU